CAGUAGUUCUAGGGAACACCAGGGCUAACACUGUGUGCCGGGCCCUAACAGACAUUUUGCUAGGGUAGGUUGCCCUCCGGCAUCCUUACAGAUUCAGGAUCUAAUUCCUGGCA